rnacentral:rRNA from 1 species
GAUGAACGCUGGCGGCGUGCUUAACACAUGCAAGUCGAACGGUGAAGCAGGAGCUUGCUCCUGUGGAUCAGUGGCGAACGGGUGAGUAACACGUGAGCAAUCUGCCCUGGACUCUGGGAUAAGCGUUGGAAACGACGUCUAAUACCGGAUACGAGGCGUGGGGGCAUACCCAACGCCUGGAAAGAACUUCGGUCCAGGAUGAGCUCGCGGCCUGUCAGGGAGUUGGUGAGGUAAGGGCUCGCCAAGCCGAAGAAAGGUAGCCGGCCUGAGAGGGUGACGGGCCACCCGGGGACUGAGACACGGCCCAGACUCCUCCGGGGGGGAGGAUUGGGGAAUAUUGCACAAUGGGCGCAAGACUGAUGCAGCAACGCCGCGUGAGGGUGGACGGCCUUCGGGGUGUAAACCUCUUUUAGCAGGGAAGAAGCGGAAGUGACGGUACCUGCAGAAAAAGCACCGGCUAACUACGUGCCAGCCGCCGCGGUAAGAC